rnacentral:rRNA from 1 species
ACUCAGUGAAAUUGAACUCGCUGUGAAGAUGCAGUGUACCCGCGGCAAGACGGAAAGACCCCGUGAACCUUUACUAUAGCUUGACACUGAACAUUGAGCCUUGAUGUGUAGGAUAGGUGGGAGGCUUAGAAGUGUGGACGCCAGUCUGCAUGGAGCCGACCUUGAAAUACCACCCUUUAAUGUUUGAUGUUCUAACGUGGACCCGUGAUCCGGGUUGCGGACAGUGUCUGGUGGGUAGUUUGACUGGGGCGGUCUCCUCCUAAAGAGUAACGGAGGAGCACGAAGGUUGGCUAAUCCUGGUCGGACAUCAGGAGGUUAGUGCAAUGGCAUAAGCCAGCUUGACUGCGAGCGUGACGGCGCGAGCAGGUGCGAAAGCAGGUCAUAGUGAUCCGGUGGUUCUGAAUGGAAGGGCCAUCGCUCAACGGAUAAAAGGUACUCCGGGGAUAACAGGCUGAUACCGCCCAAGAGUUCAUAUCGACGGCGGUGUUUGGCACCUCGAUGUCGGCUCAUCACAUCCUGGGGCUGAAGUAGGUCCCAAGGGUAUGGCUGUUCGCCAUUUAAAGUGGUACGCGAGCUGGGUUUAGAACGUCGUGAGACAGUUCGGUCCCUAUCUGCCGUGGGCGCUGGAGAAUUGAGGGGGGCUGCUCCUAGUACGAGAGGACCGGAGUGGACGCAUCACUGGUGUUCGGGUUGUCAUGCCAAUGGCACUGCCCGGUAGCUAAAUGCGGAAGAGAUAAGUGCUGAAAGCAUCUAAGCACGAAACUUGCCCCGAGAUGAGUUCUCCCUGACCCUUUAAGGGUCCUGAAGGAACGUUGAAGACGACGACGUUGAUAGGCCGGGUGUGUAAGCGCAGCGAUGCGUUGAGCUAACCGGUACUAAUGAACCGUGAGGCUUAACCUUACAACGCCGAAGCUGUU